UCCCCUGUGAAGUCGGAGCGUUUCAUCAGCCACUUUAUUAAUGUAUCGCGAUCGGGAAUGUCCGCCGCUGAUUUUAAGGGAUCAGAAGAAUAAUAUAGGGGUAUUCGUUUUCUGAUCCCUGAAAAAAAACCGCGGAUAUUCCCGAUCGCGAAUACAAUUCUGUAGUGGCUAUACGAGUUCUGCCACGUCUCGCUUUAAAUGUAUCUGACCGAAUAUUAGCGUUCAGAACUGAUCGAAACCUUCCCAAGAUACAUACGGAGGUGUGAUUCACUUGGAAACUCGGUGUACCGCAGAAAACUGAUUGGAUGUGCUUUCGCAUAUCGGAUUUUGGUGAAGUCACCAAACGUCAACAAAACAAUUUAUAUGACAAAUCUUCAAAUGGGAAAUUGUAUGAGUCAAACCUGAAUUUGUAAUAAAAAGAGUUCGUGAUAUAA